CUCGCGCUUACUGGAGGUGGUCACAUAAAUAUGUACAACCGAAACGUGCAACUGUUGCUCCAUUGAUUCAUAUUGUUACUGGUAGCAUGUUGUUCUUCUAUGUUAUUAAUUACGGCAAAAUUGUUCGUCAUCGUA